GCGCACUUAGCUUUGUUGGUAAAAAGCAUCACUCGUGAAGUUUGAGGACAUGGGUUCAAAUCCCAUAGUGCACA
rnacentral:tRNA from 1 species